rnacentral:rRNA from 1 species
CGGGGGGAGCAAGCGUUGUUCGGAUUUACUGGGCGUAAAGGGCGCGUAGGCGGCCACCGCAAGUCGACUGUGAAAUCUCCGGGCUUAACCCGGAAAGGUCAGCCGAUACUGCGGGGCUAGAGUGCAGAAGGGGCAACUGGAAUUCUCGGUGUAGCAGUGAAAUGCGUAGAUAUCGAGAGGAACACCUGCGGCGAAGGCGGGUUGCUGGCUGACACUGACGCUGAGGCGCGAAAGCUAGGGGAGCGAACGGGAUUAGAUACCCCGGUAGUCCUAGCCUUAAACGAUGAAUGCUUGGUGUCUGGGGUUUUAUAGUCCCCGGGUGCCGUCGCUAACGCUUUAAGCAUUCCGCCUGGGGAGUACGGUCGCAAGACUG